rnacentral:misc_RNA from 1 species
AAGUCGUAACAAGGUUUCCGUAGGGUGAGUUUUAAUAAAUAAAAUAAAUAAAUAUUCAGUUUGCUAACAUAUUUUCUAGUGAACCUGCGGAAGGAUCAUUACGAGAUGAUUUAUCUGUUUGCAAAAGCAGAUAAUAUCCCAACCCUUGUUUAUUCAAGCCAAAAUUGUUGCUUCGGCGGGACUCCAUGGAGUAAGAAGAGUAAAGAAAUAAUAAUUUAAUUUAUUUUAUAUUAUUUUCCCCUCCUAUUCCAACCGUCAGAAGAAAUAAUAUUAAAUUCUUUAAUAUAAUUGUCUGAAACAUAAAACUAUUUAUUUACUAUUUUCUUCGGAAAAUAGUAAAAAAAUAUUUAAUAAAAGCACAA